ensembl:lncRNA
CCUUGAUGGCGGGUAGUGGUCCAGGUGUCAUGCUGUCUCAGCUCACCCUGGUUUCUGGGAACACAACAGAAGAGGACCUGCUUCGGUCUGGCUCCCCUGGGCCUUCCUUUCUUCCCCACGUCUCCCAGGAUACAGUCCAUGGCUCCCGGCCAGUGAGUUCUGCAUUGCCUACGGCUCCUGGUACUCAGCUGCUCUUGGCUUAGGGUGUUUGCCAAGGCUGAAUGGUGGGCAGGAGACCCCCCAUCUGUGAAGAGGUAGAAGAGGUAGAAGAGCACAGACCCCACAAAGGAACUCUUGCCCAUGUCAACAGAAUGUCUAGCAUCAGCCACUGCCUCGGGUACUGGAACAGUCAUAUUGCCCAUCGAUUUGGUCAAAUAGAUUUGGCAGCCCAGCCGUGACCUGACUGUCAGUCCACAAGCCAGA